GAACCGUACUUGACCUAGUCUGAACCAUACUCGACCUAGUCUGAACCAUGCUUGACCUAGUCUCAACCAUACUCGACCAAGUCUUAACCAAACUAGACCUAUUCUUUGUAUCUAUUAACUGAAUUUUAUCAAUUUAGGAUUUUUUUUAAUAAAAAUGAAAUUUAAACAACAACUUGAAAUUAAAAAUGUAUUCAAUACAGUAUUGAAAUUAAAAUUUCACAUUAAUCAAUCAUAAUAUAAC
rnacentral:lncRNA from 1 species